rnacentral:lncRNA from 1 species
GUUCUGAGAAUGCUUCUGUUUACGUAGGUGAGUUCUCUCCCGUAUCCAACGAAAUCCUCAGAGCGGUCCGAAUCUCCACUUGCAGAUUCUACACAAAGUGUGUUUGGAAACUGCUCCAUCCAAAGGAAUGUUCAGCUCCGUGAGUUGAACUCAAUCGUCACAAAGUGUUUCCUGGGAAUGCUACUGUCUCGUUUUUAUGUGCAGUUAUAAACUCUCGUGCCAUAGGCCUCAAAGCGGUCCAAAUCUCCCCUUUCAGAUUCUACCAAAAGUGUGUUUCCAAAAGGCUCCAUCAAAGGGAAUGUUCAGCUCGGUGACUUGAAAGCAAUCAUCACAAAGCAGCUUCUGAGAAUGCUUCCAUGUAGCUUUGAUGAGAAGACAUUUCCUUUUCCACCCCAGGCCUCGAAGCCCUCCAAAUGUCCCCUUGCAGAUGCUAGAAAGAGAGGGUUUCAAAGCUGCUCUAUCAAAAGGAAAGUACAACUCUGCGAGUUGAAUGCAAACAUCACAAAGAAGUUCCUGAGCAUGCUUCCGUUUAGCUUUUAUGGUAAGAUUAUCCUUUUUCCAUCAGAAUGUUCAAAGAGGUCCACGUAUCCGCUUGCAGAUUCCACCGAAAGAGUGUUUCCAAACUGAUGUAUCAAAAGGAAUCCUCAGCUCCGUGAGUUGAAUGCAAUCAUCACAAAGAAGUUCCUGAG